rnacentral:lncRNA from 1 species
GCAGAGGUGGGAGAAUCGUUUGAGCCCAGGAGGCAGAGGUUGCAGUGAGCCAAGAUUGCGCCAUUGCACUCCAGCCUGGGCGAAAAGAGCAAAACUCUGUCUCAAAAAAAAAAAACAGUAUAUAAGUGUAUAUAUAUACGUGUUGCAGGUAAUUCAGCAGUUAUUACUGCAAAAAGACAGUACAGACACUUAAGUUCCAGUUUAGGAAAAAAAUCAGAGUAACUUACAUGAAUUUUUUGAACAAUGAUGGGAACUACUCUUUAUUGAGCAAGGACUCUAUGCAAAGUCCUGAGCUAACGACAGGGAAAAUAAAGCAUACAGAUAUAAAAUACCUUAUUCAAAGUCACUCCACAGGUAGGUGGAAGAAUUUAAACUCAAGAGAUUCCAAUAAUUUGGUUUUAACUUAUUUCACUGUAGUGCCUCACAAAUCAAGGUCAAUGCUAACUUGGCUCUGUAAGUAAUUAAAAGAUAGAUGUCAAACUUCCUUUUUACUUAGUCUAUACAAAUUACGGGCAUUUAACAAAUCCUUGGGCAUGGCAUGGUGGUUCAUGCCUGUAAUCCCAACACUUUGGGGGGCCAAGGUGGGAGGAUCACUGGGCCAGGAGUUCAAGACCAGCCUGGGCAAUGUAGCAGGAUCUCAUCUCUACAAAUAAUUUUUAAAAAUUAGCUGGGCAUGGUUGUGCAUGCCUGUGGUCACAGCUAUUCUAGAGGCUGAGGUGGGAGAAUCACUUGAGCCCAGGAUGUGGAGGUUGCAGUGAGCCCUGAUCAUGCCACUGCAUUCCAGCCUGGAUGACAAAGCAAGACUGUCUCAAAACAGAACAAAACAGAAAACCAAAUGCUUGUCGGCUAAGUCUUUGAAGUUCUACAUCAUUAAAUUGGAAUUUUUGUUUCUUCAGAGUAUAAAAGUUCAUGGGAUGAGUAACACAGCUACUCUUGAAAGAUGAUAAAACAUUAGAAUAUCUUUAAUAAUUUGGUUAAUCCACAUGCUUUUCAAAAAUUUUUUUUGAAAUAUUUUGGACUUUUUUUGGAAUAGUUAUUUUAUUUGUGAUUUCUCAUUUAAAUGCCUUUUCAAAAGUUCAAACACUAUCACUUGUCACUAAAACUGUUAUGUUGAAUGUCUUAUAUGAUUACAUAUGCUUUAUGACUAUUCUUUUGCCUGUAACACAGAUACAUAAUUUUCUUUUCAAGCAUUGUCUUCUUGAUCCAAUAACAGUUCUUCCAACAUCAAUUGAAAUGUAGAGUGAAAAAAUUUGAAAGUACACACUGCAGAAAACUUGAAACUAUUGAUAAACUGAUACAGUGUAAAACAAAGAACAGCUCCUAUUCACAGAAUGGGGUUACAUUUCAUAUUCAGAAAUAAUAAAGUAAGUACAGUAAACUGAUAAAUGACAUCUCUUUUUCACAUAUUCAGUUUUUAAAAAAGAAAAUAAACCUACAAGUUGCUUUACAGUUGAUGGCACCUUAGCAUUAAAAAUUCCCCCUUGCAAUUUUUCUUAAAAAUUACUCUGUACAUCUUUCUGAAAACCUUUAUUCUCUUAGUCAGCUUCUUCUCGACAGAUGCUCUCCUGGAUUCAGUGUUAAUGAUGUAAAUAAAAUCUAGGUAUUCCAAACAGAUAAUGAUGUUGCUACACAAAUGCUCUUUCAUGUUGUCUGAUGCUAUUAAUUCUGGCAAACUCUAUUGGUCAGUUCUCUGAUCUAUCACCCUUUCAGAAAGUUGAGGACCAUAAUAUAGUCAUUGUUAUACCUUUGAAAUAUGUUGAACAUCUUCUUUGGUAAUCAAUUUGCUUUACAACCUUUUACAAAUCACUGAAUUUCUUUGGCACUCAUUUUCUUCUUCUAUAAAAGAAGGUUGGACUAAUUCUCAAGUUCUAUUUUCUAAUUCUAUAAAAGGAGAGGUUGGACAGGGUAUUCCCAAGUUUCCUUAGAGCCUGAGUUAUCUAAGUUAUUAGGAUUCAUCAAUGUCACAUGCCCGAAAGCCUUAAACAAUUUUAUAUUUGUAGAUUUUUUUUUAAAGACGGAGCCUCACUCUGUCACCCAGGCUGGAGUGCAGUGGCGCUAUCUCCGCUCACUGCAACCUCUACCUCCCAGGUUCAAGUGAUUCUCCUGCCUCAGCCUCCUGAGUAGCUGGGACUACAGGCGCAUGCCACCACGCCUGGCUAAUUUUUGUAUUUUUAGUAGAAAUGGGGUUUUGCCAUGUUGACCAGGCUGGUCUCGACCUCCUGACCUCAAGCAAUCCACCACCUUGGCUUCCCAAAGUACUGGGAUUACAAGUGUGAGCCAGCGUGCCCAGCCAAUAUUGUAGAUCUUAAUAAAAUACCACAAUGUAUAAAAUACUAGCCAUGGUAUCUUAAGUGAAAUAGGUAGACUCAACUCUCUAUGAACCUACACAUUUCAAUGUGAUGAAACUGAUAUUUGUUUUCCAUUUGGUGGUAUAAUACAUUCAAAAUGUAAAGCAUUAGGAGUUUUCUGAGAAGAAGAUAAUGUACAUAGGAAAUAUAUGGCUGCCUACUGGCUAAAGCCAUCUAAACCAAUAGCUCCAAAAGGAGCAUUAAUAGGAAACCCCAAAACAAUAAACAGCAACAAGACCUAGCAAAAUAAGUUUCUUUUUUUUUUUUUUUUUUUUUUUUAGAUGGGGGUAUCUCACUCUGUCACCCAGGCUGGGUCAUUUGAGUGUUGACACAGCACCCUCCUGGGCACUCUUUUCUCUGUGGAUGGCAGCCAGAAACAUUCAAGGUGACACUACUCUGUCAGUUUGGGUCCCUGAGUAAGUCUGAUGACCUGAGCCAUUCUGCUAACCUUCAAUUAAUACAUAAGGUGAGCAAGUGUUGUUGUGAAUAUAGAUCGUCUGUUACCUCAGCAUAAAUGAAUUUUUGCAAAUGGAACCAACAUUCUAGGUCAAGUCACUAUACACUCCUUCCCACAAGGGAAACUACUAUCCUGACUUCUAACCGAAUAUAUUAGUUUUACUUGUUCUUAUUCUUUAAAAACUGUUGUCAUACAAUAUGUACUCUUCUUUUUUUGAGUUGAGGUCUUGCUUGGUUGCACAUGCUGGAGUGCAGUGGUGCAAUCAUAGCCCACUGCAACCUUGAACUCCUGGGCUCAAGCAAUCCUCCUACCUCAGCCUCCCAAGUAUCUGAUAUGUGCCACCACGCCCAGCUAAUUUUUAAAUUUUUUUGUAGUAAUGAGGUCUCGCUAUUGUUGCCUAGGCUGCUCUUAAACUCCUGGACUUAAGCAAUCCUCCUGCCUCGGCCUCCCAAAGAGCUGGGAUUAUAGGAAUAAGUCGCUGUGCCUAGCCCAGUAUGUACUCUUUUCUGGCUUCCUUUGUUCAAUAUUGGGCUUGUGAAAUUGCUCCAUGGGUUUGUGGUCUGUUCAUUCUCAUUGAUGAGUGCUAUUCAUUGUAUAAAUGAACUACAUUUUAGUAUUUGACUGUUAAUGGGCUUUUAGGCAAUAGUUUCCAGUACUUGACAUACAAAUAAUGCUCCAACAAAUAUUCUGGUAUAUACCUUUUAGUGAACAUAUGUGUGCAUUUCUGUUGCGUAUAUACGUAGAAGUGGAAUUGCUGGCUCAUAGAGUAUACAUAUGUUCAGCUUUGGUAGAUAGUGUGAAACAGUUUUCCAAAAAUAGGUGUACCAAUUUAUACACUCACUAUCAGUGUAGGAGUGUUCUGGAAGUUCCAACAUUUGGCUUUUUUUUUGUUUUUUCACUUUAGCCAUUCUGGAGGUAACUGGUGAAGUUAAACACCUUUUCACAUAUUUAUUGGCCAUUUGGGGUUUUUUUUUGGAAAGCCACCUGUUCAUCUUUUGUCCAUUUUCCUAUUGGGUUGUCUUUCUAUUUCAUUAGACAGUAGUUCACUCCUUAUCUGUGGGGAAUACAUUCCAAGACCCCAAGUGAAUGUCUGAAACCACUGAUGGUACCAAGUCCCAUACAGGUGAAGUAUCCCUUAUCUGAAACGUUUGGGACCAGAAGUGUUUCAGAUUUUUGAUUUUUUCAAAUUUUGGAAUAAUUGCAGAAUACAUACUGGUUGAGUAUCCUUAAUCUGAAAGUUCAAAAUCUGAAACCCAAAAUGCUCCAAUGAGCAUUGCCUUUGAGUGUCAUGUCAGCACUCAAAAAGUUUCAGAUUUUGGAUUUUGGAUUUUUAAAUUAGGGAUGCUCAACUUGUAUAUACUAUUUCCUACACACACAUAUAUAUAUAUACGUACAUACCUAAGAAGGUUUAAUUUAUAAAUUUGGCACAGCGGGAGAUUAACAACAGUAAAGGAUAAGUAAAUAGAACAAUUAUAACAAUAUACUGUAAUAAAAGUUAUGUGAAUGUGGUCUCUCUCUCAAUAUAUCUUCUUGUAUUAUACUAAAGAUAACUGGAACUGAGGAGAGUAAAGCAUGAUAAGGGGGACUUUCCUGUAUUUUGAGAGACAGAUCAUGUUCACUUAACUUUUAUUAUAGUAUAUUGUUAUAAUUGUUCUAUUUUAUUAGUAGACAUUUUUAUUAAUCUCUUACUUUGCCUAAUCUAUAAAUUAAACUGUAUCAAAGUUAUGUAUCAGAAAAAGCACAGUGCAGUAUACAUAAGAUUCAGUACUAUCUGUUGUUUCAGGCAUCCCCUGGAAGUCUUGGAAUGUAUCCUCUGUGAACGAGGGGGCACUACAGUAUAUUCCUUAUUUAUAAAGUUGUUGUUUACAUAUAGUUUAUAUAUUUUGGAUAUGAAUCUUCUGUAGAAUAUGCAUAUUAUAUUUUGAAUAUAUUCUCUCAUCUGUGCAUUGGCUUUUCAUUCUUGUGAUAUAUUCUCUUUUGGAGUAUAAAUUCUUAAUUUUAAGAUGCUCCAAUUCUUUUUCUUUUAUAAUUAGUGCUUUUGUCUUGUUUUUAAAUGUUUUGCCUGCUCCAAGAUGAAGGAGAUAUUCUCUUUUUCUUUUUUUGAGACGGAGUCUUUCUCUGUUGCCCAGGCUGGAGUGCAAUGGCACGAUCUCUGCUCCCUGCAACCUCCGCCUCCUGGAUUCAAGCAAUUC